UACGUAGGUGGCAAGCGUUGUCCGGAAUUAUUGGGCGUAAAGCGCGCGCAGGCGGUCUCUUAAGUCUGAUGUGAAAUCUCGCGGCUCAACCGUGAGCGGUCAUUGGAAACUGGGAGACUUGAGUGCAGAAGAGAAGAGCGGAAUUCCACGUGUAGCGGUGAAAUGCGUAGAGAUGUGGGGGAACACCAGUGGCGAAGGCGGCUCUUUGGUCUGUGAACUGACGCUGAGGCGCGAAAAGCGUGGGGAGCGAACAGG
rnacentral:rRNA from 1 species